CUUUCCCUACGGGGCGCAGCAGUGGGGAAUAUUGCGCAAUGGGCGAAAGCCUGACGCAGCGACGCCGCGUGAGGGAUGAAGGUCUUCGGAUCGUAAACCUCUGUCAGCAGGGAAGAACGGUCACUGUGCUAAUCAGCAGUGAAUUGACGGUACCUGCAAAGAACGCACCGGCUAACUCCGUGCCAGCAGCCGCGGUAACACGGAGGGUGCGAGCGUUAAUCGGAAUUACUGGGCGUAAGGCGCUCGUAGGCGGUAUGUCAAGUCAAGGGUGAAAUCCCCGCGCUCAACGUGGGAACUGCCUUUGA
rnacentral:rRNA from 1 species